AACUGGGUGANUAGAGUGUGUCAGAGGGAGGUAGAAUUCCACGUGUAGCAGUGAAAUGCGUAGAGAUGUGGAGGAAUACCGAUGGCGAAGGCAGCCUCCUGGGAUAACACUGACGUUCAUGCCCGAAAGCGUGGGUAGCAAACAGGAUUAGAUACCCUGGUAGUCCACGCCCUAAACGAUGUCGAUUAGCUGUUGGGCAGCAUGACUGCUUAGUAGCGAAGCUAACGCGUGAAAUCGACCGCCGGGGGAGUACGGUCGCAAGAUUAAAACUCAAAGGAAUUGACGGGGACCCGCACAAGCGGUGGAUGAUGUGGAUUAAUUCGAUGCAACGCGAAGAACCUUACCUGGUCUUGACAUGUACGGAACCCUCCAGAGACGGAGGGGUGCCUUCGGGAGCCGUAACACAGGUGCUGCAUGGCUGUCGUCAGCUCGUGUCGUGAGAUGUUUGGUUNNNNNNNNNNACGAGCGCAACCCUUGUCAUUAGUUGCCAUCAUUAAGUUGGGCACUCUAAUGAGACUGCCGGUGACAAGCCGGAGGAAGGUGGGGAUGACGUCAAGUCCUCAUGGCCCUUAUGACCAGGGCUUCACACGUCAUACAAUGGUCGGUACAGAGGGUAGCCAAGCCGCGAGGCGGAGCCAAUCUCACAAAACCGAUCGUAGUCCGGAUUGCACUCUGCAACU
rnacentral:rRNA from 1 species